GAUGGACGCUGGCGGCGUGCCUAAUACAUGCAAGUAGAACGCUGAAGGAAGGAGCUUGCUCUUUCCGGAUGAGUUGCGAACGGGUGAGUAACGCGUAGGUAACCUGCCUGGUAGCGGGGGAUAACUAUUGGAAACGAUAGCUAAUACCGCAUAACAGUAGAUGUUGCAUGAUAUCUACUUAAAAGGUGCAAUUGCACCACUACCAGAUGGACCUGCGUUGUAUUAGCUAGUUGGUGAGGUAACGGCUCACCAAGGCGACGAUACAUAGCCGACCUGAGAGGGUGAUAGGCCACACUGGGACUGAGACACGGCCCAGACUCCUACGGGAGGCAGCAGUAGGGAAUAUUCGGCAAUGGACGGAAGUCUGACCGAGCAACGCCGCGUGAGUGAAGAAGGGUUUCGGAUCGUAAAGCUCUGUUGUAAGAGAAGAACGAGUGUGAGAGUGGAAAGUUCACACUGUGACGGUAUCUUACCAGAAAGGGACGGCUAACUACGUG
rnacentral:rRNA from 1 species